rnacentral:rRNA from 1 species
AACGAACGCUGGCGGCAUGCCUAACACAUGCAAGUCGAACGAGACCUUCGGGUCUAGUGGCGCACGGGUGCGUAACGCGUGGGAACCUGCCCUUAGGUUCGGAAUAACUCCCCGAAAGGGGUGCUAAUACCGGAUAAUGUCUUCGGACCAAAGAUUUAUCGCCUUUGGAUGGGCCCGCGUUGGAUUAGCUAGUUGGUAGGGUAAAAGCCUACCAAGGCGACGAUCCAUAGCUGGUCUGAGAGGAUGAUCAGCCACACUGGGACUGAGACACGGCCCAGACUAGGAUGGGCGGGAACCGUGGGGAAGAGUGAACAGUGGGCGAAGGGCUGAUCGAGCCGUGCGGGAUGGGUGAGGAAGGCCCGAGUGUGUUAAAUCUCUGUUACCCGGGAAAAAAUUGAGCCGCCAGGACGAACAACCCCCGCCAACCCCCGUGCCAGCAGCCGAGCAACUAAGAGGACGCCCACACGCCUCACC